GCCCCGGUAGCCCAACGGCAGAGGCCCGGCUCUCAAACAGCCGUCAGUGUGGGUUCGAAUCCCACCCGGGGCACCA
rnacentral:tRNA from 2 species